ACCUUUCAAAAACAGGGUGCGUCGCGGCCCCCCUCCGGGGGCGGUUUGGGGUCCUCCCCUUCACGCGCGCACGACUGCAUCCUUACUUUACGAGCACCUUCUGUUCUCCCUCGGCGGGGCAACCUGCCGUUGGAACCGAAUAAACCCUUUUUUGCAUCCAGCAUUACCCGUUCCGAAACAAACAAUCGUUA
rnacentral:misc_RNA from 1 species